rnacentral:rRNA from 1 species
GAUGAACGCUGGCGGCGUGCCUAAUACAUGCAAGUCGAGCGAACAGAUGAGGAGCUUGCUCCUCUGACGUUAGCGGCGGACGGGUGAGUAACACGUGGAUAACCUACCUAUAAGACUGGGAUAACUUCGGGAAACCGGAGCUAAUACCGGAUAAUAUAUUGAACCGCAUGGUUCAAUAGUGAAAGACGGUUUUGCUGUCACUUAUAGAUGGAUCCGCGCCGCAUUAGCUAGUUGGUAAGGUAACGGCUUACCAAGGCGACGAUGCGUAGCCGACCUGAGAGGGUGAUCGGCCACACUGGAACUGAGACACGGUCCAGACUCCUACGGGAGGCAGCAGUAGGGAAUCAUCCGCAAUGGGCGAAAGCCUGACGGAGCAACGCCGCGUGAGUGAUGAAGGUCUUCGGAUCGUAAAACUCUGUUAUUAGGGAAGAACAAAUGUGUAAGUAACUAUGCACGUCUUGACGGUACCUAAUCAGAAAGCCACGGCUAACUACGUG